rnacentral:rRNA from 1 species
AUGCGAUCAAGAAGAAGGAAAAACUUCAUCCACAACCUGCAAACGAGCAACGGAGUCGCCACAUCACACGAGGAUAAAGAGGCAGCCAUCUUCGAGCACUUCAGUUCCGUCCUCGGCUCCAAAGGAGCCCGGACUAGAGCCAUAGACUGGAGCCAGCUACAGCUGCCGGAAAUAAGAGGAGGAGGCCUCGACAACCCGUUUUCUGAAGAAGAAGUCUGGGAGGCGAUCAAAGCCUCGCCAGCAGAAAAAGCCCCGGGCCCGGACGGCUUCAUUGGCGUUUUCUUCCGUAGUUGUUGGCAAACUAUCAAGCACGACAUCAUGAAGGUUUUCCACCGGUUCUACUGCAUUGCCGGCGACAAUCUUGCUACGCUCAACUCCGCCCUGGUAGUCUUGAUCCCCAAAAAGGAUGGCGCGGCAACAGUUUCAGACUACAUGCCAAUCAGCCUAGUGCACUCCAUAGCUAAGCUAAUCACCAAAGUCCUCUCCAUGCGGCUCUCCAACAUCAUCGACUCCAUAAUCUCACCGGCGCAAUCUGCUUUCUUGGCAAAGAAGAGC